rnacentral:rRNA from 1 species
AGAUUGAACGCUGGCGGCAUGCCUAACACAUGCAAGUCGAACGGGAGUAGCAAUACUCUAGUGGCGGACGGGUGAGGAAUACGUAGGAAUUUGCCCUUAAGUGGGGGAUAACCCGGGGAAACCCGGAUUAAUACCGCAUGACCUCGAAAGAGCAAAGUGGGGGAUCGCAAGACCUCACGCUUUUGGAGAAGCCUACGUCGGAUUAGCUAGUUGGUGAGGUAAUGGCUCACCAAGGCGACGAUCCGUAACUGGUCUGANAGGAUGAUCAGUCACACCGG